rnacentral:tRNA from 1 species
GGGCUGGUGGCGGAAUGGCAGACGCUCAAGUCUUAAAAACUUGUGAGGCAAACCUCAUGUGGGUUCGACUCCCACCCAGCCCA